AGUGAACGCUGGCGGCAGGCCUAACACAUGCAAGUCGAGCGGCAGCGCGUCCGACCACCCUCGGGUGGUCGGAUGGCGGCGAGCGGCGGACGGGUGAGGAAUGCAUCGGAAUCUGCCUCGUUGUGGGGGAUAACGUAGGGAAACUUACGCUAAUACCGCAUACGACCUACGGGUGAAAGUGGGGGACCUUCGGGCCUCACGCGAUGAGAUGAGCCGAUGCCGGAUUAGCUAGUUGGCGGGGUAAAGGCCCACCAAGGCGACGAUCCGUAGCUGGUCUGAGAGGAUGAUCAGCCACACUGGAACUGAGACACGGUCCAAACUCCUACGGGAGGCAGCAGUGGGGAAUAUUGGACAAUGGGGGCAACCCUGAUCCAGCCAUGCCGCGUGUGUGAAGAAGGCC
rnacentral:rRNA from 1 species